UGCCGUAGCGAGGACUCGAACCUCGGUUUGCAGUGCUUCAAACGCUCGUGGUGGGCCACAAACUGCUGUCCUAACCCCUAGACGACUACGGC